UUCCGGUUGAUCCCGCCGGACCCUACUGCUAUCGGGGUGAGACUAAGCAAUGCAAGUCGUGCGCCUCAAGCCAUGGUGAGGCGCGGCAAACGGCUCAGUAACACGUGGCCAACCUACCCUUAGGACGGGGACAACCCCGGGAAACUGGGGCUAAUCCCCGACAGGCGAGGAGGCCUGGAAUGGUUCUUCGCUCAAAGGGCGUUGGGGACAUGCUUCCCAGCGUUGCCUAAGGAUGGGGCCGCGGCCGAUCAGGUUGUUGGUGAGGUAACGGCCCACCAAGCCUUUAACCGGUACGGGCCAUGAGAGUGGGAGCCCGGAGAUGGGCACUGAGACAAGGGCCCAGGCCCUACGGGGUGCAGCAUGCGCGAAACCUCCGCAAUGCGCGAAAGCGUGACGGGGUUACCCCGAGUGCCGUCCGCUGAGGAUGGCUUUUCUCCUGUGUAAGGAGCCGGAGGAAUAAGGGGAGGGCAAGACUGGUGUCAGCCGCCGCGGUAAUACCAGCUCCCCGAGUGGUAGGGACGAUUAUUGAGCUUAAAGUGUCCGUAGCCGGCCUGACAAGUCUUCCGUUAAAUCCAGCGACUCAAUCGCUGGGCCGCGAAAGAUACUGUCAGGCUAGGGGGCGGAAGAGGCCGACGGUAUUCCCGGAGUAGGGGUGAAAUCCUAUAAUCCCGGGAGGACCACCAGUGGCGAAGGCGGUCGGCUAGAACGCGCUCGACGGUGAGGGACGAAAGCUGGGGGAGCGAACCGGAUUAGAUACCCGGGUAGUCCCAGCUGUAAACGAUGCGGGCUAGGUGUCGGGGCGGCCACGAGCCGCUUCGGUGCCGCAGGGAAGCCGUUAAGCCCGCCGCUUGGGAAGUACGGGCCGCAAGGCUGAAACUUAAAGGAAUUGGCGGGGGGAGCACCCACAAGGCGUGAAGCUUGCGGUUCAAUGGAGUCAACGCCGGA
rnacentral:rRNA from 1 species